rnacentral:rRNA from 1 species
GACGAACGCUGGCGGCGUGCUUAACACAUGCAAGUCGAGCGGUAAGGCCCUUUCGGGGGUACACGAGCGGCGAACGGGUGAGUAACACGUGGGUGACCUGCCCUUAGCUCUGGGAUAAGCCUGGGAAACUGGGUCUAAUACCGGAUAUGACUCCAUGACGCAUGUUGUGGGGUGGAAAGCCUUGUGCGGCUAGGGAUGGGCCUGCGGCCUAUCAGCUUGUUGGUGGGGUGAUGGCCUACCAAGGCGACGACGGGUAGCCGGCCUGAGAGGGCGACCGGCCACACUGGGACUGAGACACGGCCCAGACUCCUACGGGAGGCAGCAGUGGGGAAUCUUGCGCAAUGGGCGAAAGCCUGACGCAGCGACGCCGCGUGGGGAUGACGGCCUCGGUGU